AAACAGACACGUUUGGUGCUAGCCUUUCUAUUAACUCUAGUAAGAUUACACAUGCAAGUAUCCCCACUCCAGUGAAAUCAUCCUCUAAAUCGCUAUGAUCAAAAGGAGUAAGUAUCAAGCACGCAUUAAUGCAGCUCAAAACACUUUGCUCAGCCACAUCCCCACGGGAAACAGCAGUGAUAAACCUUUAACAAUAAACAAAAGUUUAAGCUAUACUAACACUUAGGGUUGGUUAAUUUCGUGCCAGCCACCACAGCCACAUGAUUAACUCGAGCUAAUAGAGACCGGCGUAAAGAGUGUUUUAGAAUUACUCUCAAUAAAGCUAAAUUUCAUCUCAAUUGUAAAAAAUCCUAGCUGAUAUAAAAUAAACUACGAAAGUGGCUUUAAUAUCUCUGAACACACAAUAGCUAAGAUUCAAACUGGGAUUAGAUACCCCGCUAUGCUUAGUCCUAAACUUCAGUAGUUAAAUUAACAAAACUACUCGCCAGAAUACUACAAGCAAUAGCUUAAAACUCAGAGGACCUGGCGGUGCUUCACAUCCCUCUAGAGGAGCCUGUUCUAUAACCAAUAAACCCCAAUCCACCUCACCACCUCUUGCUCAGCCUAUAUACCGCCAUCUUCAGCAAACCCUAGUAAAGGCCACAAAGUAAGCACAAAUACACACAUAAAAAAGUUAGGUCAAGGAGUAGCCCAUGAGAUGGUAAGAAAUGGGCUACAUUUUCCAACCCAGAAAAUUUCACGAUAGCCCUUAUGAAAUCUAAGGGCAAAAGGAGAAUUUAACAGUAAAUUAAGAGCAGAGUGCUUAAUUGAAUAAGGCCAUAAAGCGCGCACACACCGCCUGUCACCCUCCUCAAGUAUAUUUAAAGAUUAACUUAACUAAAUUCCCUUCAUAUUUAUAUAGAGGAGAUAAGUCGUAACAUGGUAAGUGUACUGGAAAGUGCACUUGGAUGAACCAAGGU
rnacentral:ncRNA from 1 species